rnacentral:misc_RNA from 1 species
GGUGACUUUCUCUCACAAAUGGAUCAAAACGGCGUCGUUAGCUUCCGCCACCGUCAAUCUCCAUCCUCCGAUCGGUUUCUCGGCGUUUUCUCUCCGCCGCUGAGUGAUGCUGCUCUCGUCGGCGGGACAGAUGAACCAGUGGCCGAUGAUGAUGAGCUUAACGAAGAUGACGUGUUCUGGACUGGAAGAGCUUUGACUGAAUCUCAACUCCGUUCUACUUCUCCUUCACGGAAUAGUUUCCGGAAGCCUGAGAAGUUUGGUAUUCUCGCGGCAUUAGUGGAGGAUCAGCAGAAAACUAAUUUGCCUGUUGUCCGUCGGAAGCCUUCAAUCGCUUCUUCGCCAUCUAGUACGGAUUCGAUCUCGCAAUCGCCGAUUUCAUCUUCGCCUUCUACUGUGAUACCGUCUGCACGUGCUUUUCCUUUGAUUCCUAAGCCGCCAUCAGGUAUCAAUAAUUUUAGUCACUCAAAAUCCAUGCCGGCGAGGAA